GAAUCCCUGAAGAAACCAGAUUUUUGGAAGUAACAGCUCCUUUAAUUUAGUAUUGAAAUUCUGUCAUAUUUGGACACUCCUGGGGAUGGCUUCGGCAGGUUGGGUGUGAAAUUUCUAUCUGUGAGACUGCAAAUGCAGGAACGCAGGGUGACCUGAGGCUCAGUCGAUAAAGGAUGGUUUCCGUGAGAUCACAAAGGCCUUCUUUUCCCCAGGUCAGCUCUCUCUGUGACUCCCAGUGUUCCCAGCAAAUCUGAUUUUCUGGAAUUGGGAGGAACAAACAGGAGGAGGGAGGAAUGUGGAAGGGAGAAAAAUAUUAGCCACCAGGAAUACACAUGGGCUGGCUGGAAGGCCUCUUAGGCUAUGAGAAAUUACCAGGAGAAACACUCUCCUGAGGGCUCAAUGAGAACUGAGCAGGAAAGCACCCCCCUCCCAGGGUGGGGGUUGGGAAACAAUCUCUAUUUCAUUAAAGGCAGGGAGGAGGAAUAUUUGCUUUUGGGGAAUCUUUUUGUCACUUGUUAUUAUCUCUAUGUUUUCAGAAAUGAAAUGUCUUAAAACCACCACCCAACACAGAGAGACAUUAUUUUUUUCAUUUGAAACAAGUCUAAAGAACACAGCAUGCCCUGUACAUCACCCCUGAGGCUCGUAUUUAAUAUAAGAACAAGAUGGUCUCCCUACCUCCCUUGUGCCUGACUAGAGCUGGGGAGAGGCCCUCGGCGGUGAGAGCAACGUCCAGCUGCUGUGGCAAAAUGAGAAGUGACAGGAAGGAAAAGGAUAUCUAAUAGAAACUGCCCGCAAAUCUGUCCAGUGUUUGAGGCUGGCAGUUCCAUUCCCCCAGCCCCAGGUAGGGCGCCCUGAGAGGCAGCUCUAUGAGCUUCUUGGGACUUACAUCUAUGUAAGAAGCAAACAUCCUCUCCCCCCUCAUCCUCCUCCUGGCAUAUGCUCGUCUAUAUUCAGUCUGGCAUGUGACGACUUCCUUCAAGGGACAGUGUUAUUUUAUUCGAGAGAUGUUACCUCUUGGGAAACAUGAGCCAGUCUACCUUACCAGCAUGCACGCUAAUGCCACACACGGCCCCACCAUGUCACACUAAACCUCAGAGGUCUGAACCACCACGAGGCAAGUGAGGACUAUCUGGGUGCCUUGGUGUCUGCAUAGCAAAGUGCUGGGCGGGUCUGUACACCUUGAUGCAGCCAUUUCUGCAACGAGUUUGAAAGCUCCUUCGGAGCAACAACAAUUCUGUAUCCAUGCCUGGCAUCUAAUAGGUACCCCAUAAUUAUAUCUGAAUUAAACUUGCAGAGAAUAGAGAAUAGAAAAAUCAUUACUACUAAAAGGAAAAUGUAAGAUUUUGAGAAAAAAAAUUAAAUGUUUAUAUUUAUAGCUUCUUACAUUAUGUAAUUUUUGCCUUUCUCAAAUCUCUUAGAAGUGGAAUUCAAGGCCAGAAUUUCAUUAUAUAUAUGAAAUUCUGUCUUCUUCCCUUCAGCCUUCUGUACCACAACACCAGAGACUGGGUAGCUUAGAAACAACAGAGAUUUAUUUCUCAGGGUUCUGAGGGCUGGGAAGUCUAAGAUCAAGGUGUCAGCAGAUUCUUUCUGGUGAGAGCCCACUUCCUGGUUCAUAGGAGGAACCUCUCUUACUAUGUCCUCACACAGGGGAAAUGACUAUGGAGCCCUAAUGCAUCUCCUUUAUAAAAGUACUAACCUAAUUCAUGAAGACUCUGCUUUUGCGGGGAACAUAGACACUCUAACCACAGCCAACUCCAAAUAAGGUCUUCUCUUACCUUUGAAUCUGCAAGGUAUUUUUACUUUCAGACCGUUUCACUAUUACAGGUGUUUUGCCCUGAAUCCUCUCUCUCAACAGCAAUUCAUCUUCUUGUCUGACGUGCUUGUUUUGUUCUCUUGUUAUUUUGAGGGAGAUGGUAAUAUUUAUUUUCUUAUUUCCUUAUUUGCAUGUUUGUUUAUCCUUUCAAAAAGAGCUGACUUGGUGAAUUAAGUCUAAAUAGGAAAAAAAUUACCAAAAAGUUUUCCACUUUUCUAAGAUCUUCAGUUUUUUAAUAUUUAUUAAAGUUUAGUCCAAGCAUAACUUAAAUGGGAUUGUUGAUCAUUUAAAACACAAAUUCUGGCGCUACACCAAAUGUUCUACAUUGGAAGUCUUGGGAAUGGGUUCCAGAAGUCCUGCAUUUUUAGGAGUCUGUCCAGCUAGGAACAUCCCAGAUAAUUCUUAUCCAAACAGGUGUAUGAAGACACCUAGAUUUAGGCUUCAGAAAACAUAGCUGAAGCCUCAUUUCUGGGUGAAACCUCACAAUUAUAGCUUCCAAACAAAAUAAGUUCAGUAUCCCCUCUCAAAAACAAUCUCUCAAUAUUACACUGUUUUCUGCUUAUAAUGUAAAUAACGGUAUUGAAGAGUUUAGAUUAUUGUGUUUUAAGGGAUGGGAAGGAAGAUGUGGCAAAAUAUAUCAGAGAACAAGUUUCUGCUCUUAGGGGAUGUCCUGCUGUAGAGUUGGCUGUGAACAAAAUCUGCUGAGUGUUCAACAGUGCGGUCCUGUUGCUAGUACACACAAAGCACUAAUCUUUUUUUCAGAACAUAUUGCUUAGGGAACUUUUGAAUCUCUCUCUGUAGCCUACCUAGAGUAUUUCACCCUCUGAUUGGACCAAUUUUAACAUUUUCCCCUUUUGUACCACAAAAUUAUUUUUAGUAAUGACCAUGUAAUGAUCAGUGAUGAUCAUUAAUUUCUUGAUUCAUCUCAUUUUAAAAGUCAACAACAUAGCAACUUAAAAAGAAUACUUUUAAACUUUACAUAAGUUAUUCAAAUUUGUUAAAUUAUUUCAUGUAUGACUUAAAAUUUCCACUUAUCAGCAAUAUGCAAUUCAUUUUAUUUUCACUCCUGCAAAUUUUAAGCACAUGUACAAAGUUGCCUACUUCAAGUAGUCACCUAGAAUGACAGAGCUGAGAAAUUCAUGUUUUCUUUCUUCAUUUUGCAAUAAUGUACAAUCAUUGUUCAUCUACUAUUUAAACCCAUGAAUAUAUUGAACCACAGCAUUUGGAGGCAGACUUGAAGAGUGUCAAACCAUUUUGAACUGCUUUUGAGCCAAACUUGUGUAGUUAGGUCCACAUGUGUCAGGGCUGCUGUACAACUUGGAGUUAUCUCAAGUACCUUUUAUGUAGAAUAUAGUGUUUUAAUGAAUAUAUAAUAAAAUGUGCUCAUUUGAAUAUCACAUAUAUAUUAUUAGAACUUAACUGUAAUCUCAAUGACUGUGUAGAAAUUAGACCAACAAGAAUUUUUUUUUUUCCAGUGGAAGUAGUAAGGGGCAAAGUUGCUAUUAGAGCUCAAGAUUUCUGCCUUUGUCCUUCACUCUAUUUAUUUAUUUAUCAAAAAAAACCCUCCACAUCACCUUUAUUCCAACCUUUAUUCCAAAAUGUAAAACAUGUUAAAAAUGUGUAGUCCUGAGCUUCAGAUGCUGACCUCCAACCUCAUAGGCAAGGGGAAGUCAGGCUAGAAGUUCAGAGUUCCUCCCACUCCUGGAGAAAAGGGAAACCCCAGGCAUGGUCUAGGACUAGAAACUAGGGCCCUAUGGAGAAUGGAACCCUUCUCUCCUAGCACCACACAAAUACGCCACCUACCCACUCAACCACCCGUGCCCCUCCUCUUCAAGGGAGAAGACACAAAACCUUUGAAAUUUGUACAGGAACCUGGUGCAUGGCACAUGUGGCAGGCAUCUAGCUGACCAGGGAGAUUUAGAGCCUGCCCCCUGCUGCUUUCUUAGCAGACAGGAUGGGGCACACCUCAGCCUCCUCCUCCUCACCUCGGUCUUCUUUGCGCUCUUCCUCAGAAGCAUCUUUGCUUAUAGUAACAUAGGUUGGCAGGAAAACUUGAGGUUGGCCACAGGGACUGCAGUCUCCUGGUGGUCGUAGUUCUGGGCCAAGACUUCUACUACUCAUCUUCGGCCCCCCUUAGCAAGGAAGCAUCGUCAAAGCCUGAACAUGCUCCAUGUCUGUCUUCCUCUACCUUGGGAGUAAAAGAGCAGUUCUUCUCCCAUUAUCUCCCUCUUAGGAAACAUCACUCUUAUAUCCUGGACUAUGUAAAUCCUUUCUAUUUUUUCAUCCUCUCUCCUUUUUUUUUCUCUCCAUGAAAUAUUUUCCCAUUACUUGAACAUCAUGGAAGUGAUGGCAUAUAAGAUAUGUUUAAUAUUUAACAGUUCUAAGGUCUUCCAUAUUUUCUUCUUUUGUCUUCUUAAAUUAGCUCUUCCCUGAGAAGCAGAGGGAAGAGCUAAUUAACAUGACCUUUUGGUCACAUGGAUUAUAGAGUUGCAACUGGAGUCAAGGUCCCUGGUUCCAAUCCUAGACGGUUCCUACCAUACAUCUUACCAUUAUACUUCUGAAACUCCUUUUUGCAUUUUAUCUCUUCUCAUCAAUUUCUAUGUCAUUUAAAUGUCAUUUACUUUUUUGCCCUGGUGUUAGUUUCU
rnacentral:lncRNA from 1 species